rnacentral:rRNA from 1 species
GACGAACGCUGGCGGCGUGCUUAACACAUGCAAGUCGAACGAUGAAGCUGGAGCUUGCUCUAGCGGAUUAGUGGCGAACGGGUGAGUAACACGUGAGCAAUCUGCCCUUGACUCUGGGAUAACUGCGGGAAACUGUAGCUAGUACCGGAUACUUUCACCGGGGGGCACCCUCUGGUGAUGAAAGAAUUUCGGUCAAGGAUGAGCUCGCGGCCUAUCAGCUUGUUGGUGAGGUAACGGCUCACCAAGGCGACGACGGGUAACCGGCCUGAGAGGGUGACCGGUCACACUGGGACUGAGACACGGCCCAGACUCCCACGGGAGGCAGCAGUGGAGAAUAUUGCACAAUGGGCGCAAGCCUGAUGCAGCAACGCCGCGUGAGGGAUGAAGGCCUUCGGGUUGUAAACCUCUUUUAGCAGGGAAGAAGCGAAAGUGACGGUACCUGCAGAAAAAGCACCGGCUAACUACGUGCCAGCCGCCGCGGUAA